CAAAACAUGUCUUAUUGAUAAUAAUUUUAAGUCGAUCUGCCCAAUGAUAAUUUUAUUAAAUGGCUGCAGUAUAAUUGACUGUACAAAGGUAGCAUAAUCAAUUGAUUUUUAAAUGAAAUCUGGAAUGAAAGGAUUAAUGAAAUAUAUACUGUCUCAUAUAUAUUUUAUGAAUUUAAAAUUUUAAUAAAAAUGUUAAAAUUUUUUUAUGGGACGAUAAGACCCUAUAGAAUUUUAUAUAAAUUUAUUUUUGUAUUUAAUAUAAAAUUUAAAUUUAUAUUUAAUUGGGAGAAUUAUUAAAUUUAAUAAAUUUUGAUUUUUAUUUACUUAAAUUAGAGAAAAAAUUUUGAUCUUUAAUUUAAAAUUAAUAGAAUAAAUUACCUUAGGGAUAACAGCGUUAUAUUUUUUUAUAGAUCUUAUAGAAAAAAAUGAUUGCGACCUCGAUGUUGAAUUAAGAUAAAUUUUAAAUGUAGAAGUUUAAUAAUUAAGUCUGUUCGACUUUUAAAAUCUUACAUGAUUUGAGUCAAAUCGACGUAAGU
rnacentral:rRNA from 1 species